AGUCAUCAGUUCCUGUUUGCUACAGACGACUUCCAUGUUGGCUCUGGUUCUUGUCAGAGAAUGUUUGUAUUUAUUUGAAUCCCUAAGACGACCUGCCUGCGCCUUCCAAGGCUUCUGGCACAAAUGCUAAGCGCCCGAAGAAGUGGUUGACCAUCGCAGAAAAGGUCAACCUCCUCAUUUCAGGAGGAAAAUCAUCUAAGGACAAUGACAAGAACUUUGUUCUCCAUUUGGAAGCGGCCAUCGUGAAACCGCCUUAUCAUCAUUUACGCGGCGGCGAUGAUGAAUCUCUGGCUGCUGCGACGUGUCUUCGUUUCUGACAUGGUGAUGUAUCUCCACCGGCCUUCACACCCUUUCUUUCCCUCCCUCCUCACUUCAAAUAAAAAAAUAAAGUAUUUCUCUUCGUCUGCCCUCUCACUGAUGGACCGCACCGAAAACAACAACGAUGAGAGCGGCGGGAACAACAAACAGGAACUGAGCUCCACGAAUUGCCCAUUGAUUUUCACCAGGGGGCAUUUUUGAAAUAGCCCAUCUGACCUUUCGGCCAAAUGGUGGUGAAUGGGGAGAGGAAAAGGCGCUAGACCGACUCUCUUUCUCUCUCUCACGCUAAGCAUCUACCCAGCCUGGACUGCUGGUGACACGUUUAAAUACCAACACCAUUAUUAGCAUUAGUCUGCAUGGCACAAGCCUCAAGUCAUGCUAGUGCCCCCUAAAGGCCACACCGCUUAUUACACCAACUGGACCAUUACAAUGCUUGGUUUUGGUUCGAAUAUUAUCAGAAAAUCUUCUCAUUAUCAUCAAAUUACAUCAUUUCUUAGCACAACUAACGUGUAAGAUAACUUCGGUCGUCUAAAGCAGUGGUUCUCAACAUUUUUUCAGUGAUGUACCCCCUGUGAACAUUUUUUUCAAUUCAAGUACCCCCUAAUCAGAGCAAAGCAUUUUUGGUUGAAAAAAAAGAGAUAAAGAAGUAAAAUACAGCACUAUGUCAUCAGUUUCUGAUUUAUUAAAUUGUAUAACAGUGCAAAAUAUUGCUCAUUUGGAGUGGUCUUUCUUGAACUAUUUGGAAAAAACGAUAUAAAAAUAACUAAAAACUUGUUGAAAAACAAACAAGUGAUUCAAUUAUAAAUAAAGAUUUCUACACAUAGAAGUAAUCAUCAACUUAAAGUGCACUC